UUUUCGAUGUGUUAAAUAUUUCUUUUAAUUGAAGCGCUGCUAAUUAUAACAUAAGGAUGUUAUAAUUAAUGAGUAAUGACGAGAGAUAAUAAUUGUUAUAUUGAUUAACAAUCAAGAGAGAUGAACAUUAGAGAUACUAAUGUUUCAUAAAAGAGAUUAGAUUAUUAAUCGAGGUUUCUUUUAUAACUUCUCACCAAUUCUUCAUAACGAUGAAGGUCCUUUUGGGAAGUAACGACUUGAGGGAGAGAGUGACGUUACUCAUUGAUACAGAGACACAACGAGGUUGAGCUGAUGUGAUGAUGGUGCUGCAAUGAGCGGAGUCUCCAGGGUUGUUAAUAAAUAGUUAACCUGUCUAGAAUAUGUCUUCAUACAUAUGUCUAGCUACUUUCCGCUGCAAGAUGUUGUUGAUGUUAUAGUAUGUUAUGUCAUACUUUGAGUCUUAAGAGAAUGGUUUCAUACGAUGUAUAACUUGAUUAAUGAUAUUAAUUAAGUUUUAUGCAGUCUUUCAUAGACUGUUUUCAAUUGAGUAUUGAUGAAUAAAAAUGACGAGUUUUAUUAA